GUCACCAUUUUCGAGUUCUAGCCGCGCUUUGUACGACGGUGCGCUUUCUAUUUCGGCUGCUAUCUCUUCUGCUUUAGCUUCUGCGUCCCUGGAUAACGUUAACCGUUGGCGCGGUGAUCGAGUUCAAGGUCUUCGAGUCGAGCGUCGCCGUUCAACGAUGGCGCUUCAGCAGCCUCGGCUUCGCCGUCCCAGGGCUCUAAGUGACGUUCCUCUGCUGACCGACCGUUACCUGCAGGAUAAGAAUAUAGAUAUGGCGCUAUCAGUCUGAAACACGUCGUGGGUCGCGUACUCGAGGUCCGAAUCCUUGGCCCUGAUGGACACGACAUCCUGCGGUUUGAAGAUUAACUUCUCAACCACGGAGUCGACAGCUACAACGCCUUGUUGGUCGACUCGAUGUGCCACCUCUAAUACGACCUGAGAAAUCAAGGAGCAACGUUACCAUCUUACGGACCUACGACCAUUACUAAUUAUACAUUUAUAAAAGUAAAGUUUUAAGUUUAUUGUAUUAUUACCUUAUAGGAACUGUUCGUAAAUUCAAUAUCAGUUAUGAAAUUAUAUUAUAUAAAUGUAAUUAAAAAAAAAAAAUUAAAAGCAUACUUAAAAUAAUUGGUCGGAAUGUUCGAUUCCAAUAAAAAUGUAACAAU